AACCGAGUCUUAAUUGGGCGUUAAGUUGCAGGGUAUAGACCCGAAACCCGGUGAUCUAGCCAUGGGCAGGUUGAAGGUUGGGUAACACUAACUGGAGGACCGAACCGACUAAUGUUGAAAAAUUAGCGGAUGACCUGUGGCUGGGGGUGAAAGGCCAAUCAAACCGGGAGAUAGCUGGUUCUCCCCGAAAGCUAUUUAGGUAGCGCCUCGUGAAUUCAUCUCCGGGGGUAGAGCACUGUUUCGGCUAGGGGGCCAUCCCGGCUUACCAACCCGAUGCAAACUGCGAAUACCGGAGAAUGUUAUCACGGGAGACACACGGCGGGUGCUAACGUCCGUCGUGAAGAGGGAAACAACCCAGACCGCCAGCUAAGGUCCCAAAGUCAUAGUUAAGUGGGAAACGAUGUGGGAAGGCCCAGACAGCCAGGAUGUUGGCUUAGAAGCAGCCAUCAUUUAAAGAAAGCGUAAUAGCUCACUGGUCGAGUCGGCCUGCGCGGAAGAUGUAACGGGGCUAAACCAUGCACCGAAGCUGCGGCAGCGACACUGUGUGUUGUUGGGUAGGGGAGCGUUCUGUAAGCCUGUGAAGGUGUGUCGUGAGGCAUGCUGGAGGUAUCAGAAGUGCGAAUGCUGACAUAAGUAACGAUAAAGCGGGUGAAAAGCCCGCUCGCCGGAAGACCAAGGGUUCCUGUCCAACGUUAAUCGGGGCAGGGUGAGUCGACCCCUAAGGCGAGGCCGAAAGGCGUAGUCGAUGGGAAACGGGUUAAUAUUCCCGUACUUGGUGUUACUGCGAAGGGGGGACGGAGAAGGCUAUGUUGGCCGGGCGACGGUUGUCCCGGUUUAAGCGUGUAGGUGUGUGUUCCAGGUAAAUCCGGUUCACUUUAACACUGAGGCGUGACGACGAGGCACUACGGUGCUGAAGCAACAAAUGCCCUGCUUCCAGGAAAAGCCUCUAAGCAUCAGGUAACAUCAAAUCGUACCCCAAACCGACACAGGUGGUCAGGUAGAGAAUACCAAGGCGCUUGAGAGAACUCGGGUGAAGGAACUAGGCAAAAUGGUGCCGUAACUUCGGGAGAAGGCACGCUGACACGUAGGUGAAGUGAUUUACUCAUGGAGCUGAAGUCAGUCGAAGAUACCAGCUGGCUGCAACUGUUUAUUAAAAACACAGCACUGUGCAAACACGAAAGUGGACGUAUACGGUGUGACGCCUGCCCGGUGCCGGAAGGUUAAUUGAUGGGGUCAGCGCAAGCGAAGCUCCUGAUCGAAGCCCCGGUAAACGGCGGCCGUAACUAUAACGGUCCUAAGGUAGCGAAAUUCCUUGUCGGGUAAGUUCCGACCUGCACGAAUGGCGUAAUGAUGGCCAGGCUGUCUCCACCCGAGACUCAGUGAAAUUGAACUCGCUGUGAAGAUGCAGUGUACCCGCGGCAAGACGGAAAGACCCCGUGAACCUUUACUAUAGCUUGACACUGAACAUUGAGCCUUGAUGUGUAG
rnacentral:rRNA from 1 species